rnacentral:rRNA from 1 species
UACGAAGGGGGCUAGCGUUGCUCGGAAUCACUGGGCGUAAAGGGUGCGUAGGCGGGUCUUUUAAGUCAGGGGUGAAAUCCUGGAGCUCAACUCCAGAACUGCCUUUGAUACUGGCGAUCUUGAGUCCGGAAGAGGUGAGUGGAACUGCGAGUGUAGAGGUGAAAUUCGUAGAUAUUCGCAAGAACACCAGUGGCGAAGGCGGCUCACUGGCCCGAUACUGACGCUGAGGUGCGAAAGCGUGGGGAGCAAACAGGG